UGCUCUGAUGACACAGGUAGCAAAUAGGAAGUGCCGUCAGAGCGAGAACUGACGAUCCUGGAGACGCGUGUCUGAGC
rnacentral:snoRNA from 13 species